rnacentral:lncRNA from 1 species
AAAGACUGAAUUCAGAAAGUCUUUGACCAAAGCAAGUAUGAAUACUGAAAAAGAGUUUAUACAGAAUUUAUAAAUGAACUCGAGUCGAGCCAAUCUAGCAUAUGACUGAUAAUGGGGUCUGACGAGUUCUCUAUGACCUCUGUCAAGUUAGAACUCAUGAUAGAAAGACUGAAUCAUACGAUAACUGCACCUAGGAGUUUGUUCAUUCAUUCUACUAGAUGUCAUUAGUAGAUUGUGGGACUCAUCGAACAUCAUCUUGAUGAUUGAUGACCCUUAAAAGAUAGAAUUAGAAAUAUUUCAAUCCAUCGAAAAGAGUUUCGAUGAUAUUGUGUUAGAGAUCACAAUAUAUCUCACUACC